rnacentral:ribozyme from 11 species
UUUUUUUCGAUCUUUCUUUUUUUUUCUUUCGCCUUUUGUUCAAGUUCUUUUUUUGAACAAGCAAAGGAAC